UGGUGAUAGAGUAGGAUCCCACCCAAGUAGGCAGCAGGCGCGUAAAUUACCCAAUCCUGACACAGGGAGGUAGUGACAAUAAAUAACAAUGCCGGGCUUUCUAAGUCUGGCAAUUGGAAUGAGAGCAAUUUAAAUCCAUCAUCGAGGAUCAAUUGGAGGGCAAGUCUGGUGCCAGCAGCCGCGGUAAUUCCAGCUCCAAUAGCGUAUAUUAAAGUUGCUGCAGUUAAAAAGCUCGUAGUUGAAUUUGUGGCGCGGCCAUCCGGCGGGGGCUCUUCAUUGAGCCCGUUUGUCCUGGUUUUUGGCCGUUCCUUUCUCGGGUAGCGUGUGGCUGGCAUUAGGUUGUUGGCUGCUUCGCGCCCGUUUUUUACUGUGAAAAAAUUUGAGUGUUCAAAGCAGGCUUAAGCCGUUAGAUACAUUAACAUGGAAUAAUAAGAUUGGGCCACGACGGUCUAUUGUGUUGGCUUGCACAUUGUGUCAAUGGCAACAGGAAUAGUGCGGGGCAAUUCAUUGAAUAAGAAGAAGCGCAAAUCUUGGAAUCUGAAAAUGAACUAACGCGGAAGUUUUCCGUGGGGAGUAAAAUUUGCCGAAAACCAAAAUCCUGGGUUGCAGAAGCUUCAAAUCAUUAAAGUCCAAACAAGCAACCAUACCCCCCAAGGAACCCCCGGCUUUUAUAUUUUGGACGUGGCGACGAGGCCUAAAAAAAAACAAACUUUUAAUCCCGGGCCGGAAGUUUUAUGGGGAGACUAAAUU
rnacentral:rRNA from 1 species